ACGCGCGGAACCUUACCAGGUCUUGACAUCCCAUUGACCGCUAUGGAGACAUAGCUUUCCCUUCGGGGACAGUGGUGACAGGUGGUGCAUGGUUGUCGUCAGCUCGUGUCGUGAGAUGUUGGGUUAAGUCCCGCAACGAGCGCAACCCUUGUUCUUAGUUGCCAUCAUUUAGUUGGGCACUCUAAGGAGACUGCCGGUGACAAACCGGAGGAAGGUGGGGAUGACGUCAAAUCAUCAUGCCCCUUAUGACCUGGGCUACACACGUGCUACAAUGGACGGUACAAACGGUUGCCAACCCGCGAGGGGGAGCUAAUCCGAUAAAACCGUUCUCAGUUCGGAUUGUAGGCUGCAACUCGCCUACAUGAAGCCGGAAUCGCUAGUAAUCGCGGAUCAGCAUGCCGCGGUGAAUACGUUCCCGGGCCUUGCACACACCGCCCGU
rnacentral:rRNA from 1 species